UACGUAGGGUGCAAGCGUUAUCCGGAAUUAUUGGGCGUAAAGAGCUCGUAGGCGGUUUGUCGCGUCUGCUGUGAAAACUGGAGGCUCAACCUCCAGCCUGCAGUGGGUACGGGCAGACUAGAGUACUGCAGGGGAGACUGGAAUUCCUGGUGUAGCGGUGGAAUGCGCAGAUAUCAGGAGGAACACCGGUGGCGAAGGCGGUUCUCUGGGGCAUGUCCUGACGCUGAGGAGCGAAAGUGUGGGGAGCGAACAGG
rnacentral:rRNA from 1 species